GAUUAAGAACGUAGUGAAAUGCGAUACGUAAUGUGAAUUGCAGAAUUCAGUGAAUCAUCGAGUCUUUGAACGCACAUUGCGCCCCCUGGUAUUCCGGGGGGCAUGCCUGUCCGAGCGUCAUUGCUGCCCUCAAGCACGGCUUGUGUGUUGGGCCUCCGCCCCCCGGCUCCCGGGGGGCGGGCCCGAAAGGCAGCGGCGGCACCGCGUCCGGUCCUCGAGCGUAUGGGGCUUCGUCACCCGCUCCGUAGGCCCGGCCGGCGCCCGCCGGCGACCCCCCUCAAUCUUUCCAGGUUGACCUCGGAUCAGGUAGGGAUACCCGCUGAACUUAAGCAUAUCAAUAAGCGGAGGA
rnacentral:misc_RNA from 1 species